rnacentral:tRNA from 1 species
GCGCCUGUAGCUCAGCUGGAUAGAGCGCCGGACUUCGAAUCCGUAGGUCGCAGGUUCGAAUCCUGCCAGGCGCG